AAUUUGCGUUAGGGAUUGCAGCGAUAUCCUUUUUGAAAAAAAGAUAUAGCGAAAAGCCCGACCCGCC
rnacentral:sRNA from 1 species